rnacentral:rRNA from 1 species
AGAGUUUGAUCCUGGCUCAGGAUGAACGCUGUCGGUGUGCCUAAUACAUGCAAGUCGAACGCGUUGGCCCAAUUGAUUGAUGGUGCUUGCACCUGAUUGAUUUUGGUCGCCAACGAGUGGCGGACGGGUGAGUAACACGUAGGUAACCUGCCCAGAAGCGGGGGACAACAUUUGGAAACAGAUGCUAAUACCGCAUAACAGCGUUGUUCGCAUGAACAACGCUUAAAAGAUGGCUUCUCGCUAUCACUUCUGGAUGGACCUGCGGUGCAUUAGCUUGUUGGUGGGGUAACGGCCUACCAAGGCGAUGAUGCAUAGCCGAGUUGAGAGACUGAUCGGCCACAAUGGGACUGAGACACGGCCCAUACUCCUACGGGAGGCAGCAGUAGGGAAUCUUCCACAAUGGGCGCAAGCCUGAUGGAGCAACACCGCGUGAGUGAAGAAGGGUUUCGGCUCGUAAAGCUCUGUUGUUAAAGAAGAACACGUAUGAGAGUAACUGUUCAUACGUUGACGGUAUUUAACCAGAAAGUCACGGCUAACUACGUGCCAGCAGCCGCGGUAAUACGUAGGUGGCAAGCGUUAUCCGGAUUUAUUGGGCGUAAAGAGAGUGCAGGCGGUUUUCUAAGUCUGAUGUGAAAGCCUUCGGCUUAACCGGAGAAGUGCAUCGGAAACUGGAUAACUUGAGUGCAGAAGAGGGUAGUGGAACUCCAUGUGUAGCGGUGGAAUGCGUAGAUAUAUGGAAGAACACCAGUGGCGAAGGCGGCUACCUGGUCUGCAACUGACGCUGAGACUCGAAAGCAUGGGUAGCGAACAGGAUUAGAUACCCUGGUAGUCCAUGCCGUAAACGAUGAGUGCUAGGUGUUGGAGGGUUUCCGCCCUUCAGUGCCGGAGCUAACGCAUUAAGCACUCCGCCUGGGGAGUACGACCGCAAGGUUGAAACUCAAAGGAAUUGACGGGGGCCCGCACAAGCGGUGGAGCAUGUGGUUUAAUUCGAAGCUACGCGAAGAACCUUACCAGGUCUUGACAUCUUGCGCCAACCCUAGAGAUAGGGCGUUUCCUUCGGGAACGCAAUGACAGGUGGUGCAUGGUCGUCGUCAGCUCGUGUCGUGAGAUGUUGGGUUAAGUCCCGCAACGAGCGCAACCCUUGUUACUAAUUGCCAGCAUUAAGUUGGGCACUCUAGUGAGACUGCCGGUGACAAACCGGAGGAAGGUGGGGACGACGUCAGAUCAUCAUGCCCCUUAUGACCUGGGCUACACACGUGCUACAAUGGACGGUACAACGAGUCGCGAACUCCCGAGGGCAAGCAAAUCUCUUAAAA